rnacentral:lncRNA from 1 species
GUUUCCACCAUUGCACCACUUAUGAAUCAUUGCCGAGUGACCGAGGAACCAUCAUCGCCGCCAGUUGUCUCUCCACACUUCAAUGCUUCAAUCCUCACUUUAGCCCUGGGGCGCAGCAUAUAAUACACAAUAUUAGGUUACCAAAGCAGAGCACUGUUGGAGAUGCUCUAAUGAAAUAAAGACAAAGGUUAAAUUAUCUCAUCUAAAUGAUGAACUUAGACCAAUUGCAGUAUUUUCUCAUAAGAUCUACAAGAUCUUAUUGAGAAUAUAAAUGAUCAAAACUGGACAUUACAAGCUGAGGAAAAGAAAAGAACUCGAGCCCCAAGAUCCUUGAUUCAUGCUUUAUCAUUUCACAAAAGUGGUUGCAAAACGAUACUGAAUGCUAGCGACUGACUUUAGAAGCUAUGAUGUGGAAGGUUAUGAAACAACUAUCAGAUGUUGAAGAUUGUGGAAGAUUGGUAAAAGUAAAAUGCUUUCACGUCUCGUUAUUAAGUUAUUGUAAUUCACACUUUGUGGUGACUAUAUUGUUAUUUGAAUUUGGACAAGUGUAUUCAAGUCAACAUAUGACUAUUA